rnacentral:snoRNA from 1 species
UUGCUACUGGUACUCACCACGGGCUGUGUUCUUAAACUGACUGUACAGAAAGAGAAGGGAAAGUAAACCCACCCCAUGUACACCUCAGCCCAGGCCCUAAGCCUGAUCUGUAUUGUGAAUGGGAAGACAUGG